UUGGUUGUAAAGGUCAGUAUCGGUGGUCGAUCAAAUUUCGAUGUUGAAUCAACGUUCACUAUUUGGUCGAUUGACAACACUGGCUAGCUGCAGCUCUGUUCCUCGCUGCUGUUUUCACUGCUUUCGAAAUGGUUUAGUGUUUUAGAACAAGUCCGUGAGCAUCUGAACUGUUAUCAGAGGAGAUUCUUCUAGUGCUUGAUGAUCUUCUGCAUCCCAUGAUGAGCAAACCUCCUGUCCAACAUCUCCAAGACACACUGAUCCAUAUGACUAGCAGCGACCAAAGAGGAAACUGACCACACACAGACACAAGAAGACAGAGAAGGUCACUUCUGCUAUGAAACAAGUUUUCUGCUUUAAAUUUGGCCCCUUUUUUCGUAAAAGAAAUUCAAUCAAUAGUGUUUUGUGCUGUUUUAAUGUGUUCCAGAUCACUGUAGUGCCUCAGAUCAAGCAGCACACAUGAACCGAUCGAAGACUAAACAAAACUCCUCACGUGUGGAGACUUCAGAAGAUGCCAGACCUCACAGAGAUUUCUGAUGAUGGAAACUAUAGAUGAACAUCCAAAGCUGCUAAAUAAUCCUUAUAUUGUAAUCAUUACCCGAAAAGGUACGUUUGCAGGGUGUUUUAAGGUGUGCUCCUACAUUUUCUGCCUGUACUCCUAUAUAUUUAUGAUACACAUGUAAAUGACUGUAAAUGAACAUGAAAAGCUGUUGCAUGCCUUUCUCAUAAGCGCUCGCCUGUUAGCAAUGCUAAUUUUAUUUAACAGUGUUAUUCCUGAGCUCAUUAAACAGUGAUUGUGAGGAGGGGUGCGGGCCGAGAGCUUUGGGAACGGAGCGAGGCGGUGGAGUGAUUGGGGAUGAGCGACACCUGCUCCACCCACCGGUCUCGAGUCUCACGGAGGAGAUGGAGGAUAUAAACCUGGAGCGACGACAGUGACGGACCGGAGAGGACCAGACCUGUGUUUAGCUGUGUUUGUGCGUGACAGUCGUCUGCGAGGGGCUGGCGCGAUGUUUUGACUUUGAUUGUCCGCCGGUUCCUGCCUCCUCCUUCCUGAUGCCGUUACAGUAAUAUUGUGGCUUUAUUAAACGAUCCUCUCUGAAAAUACAGUUUCACAGUGUUAUCUGUGUACUGUCAGCGAGGAACUCUCAGUAAAUCUAGUUCACAGCACAUCAGUGGAAGCAGUUAACCGUUACAGACAUGUGUUGGAUCAGGGUCAGAUCUGAAUUCUGCAGGUAGAUAGAUCUCCAGCCCUGUUAUAUUGGUAAUGUAUGAUGGAUGUUGUUUUUAUUGCAGGUUUCCUGAGAUGAGCGUUGAAGAGAUCAGCAGAUCAGAUGUUGGUCUGGACAGCUGUAGCUACAGUACACCACACUGACUUCUUUUCUACUACUGUUAUGUUCUGUGAAGGUAUUAUUACAGCAAACCUGAGCACCUGUGACACUGGAAAUGUUGUCAUGAAUAGUCACACAUGCAUAUUUGUAAAUUGAAAGUCACAGAUAGAUUUUUUUGGUACUAACAAUGUUUCUUUUUAACUAAUUCUCUCCAGCACACACAACACAACAAUGACACCAUUUCAUUUUCUGAGGUGCACAAACCCUAUUCUACAACUAAGAGAACAACAGUACACUAGUGCUCAGUUUAGCCCCUUUCACACUGAGAUUCUAGAUAAUACACGGGUAAUGUGUUCUGGGAUCGAUAGAUUUUGGUUCAUUCACUCUGCCAGUGAUUCUCCAGAAUCUGUGUGUGCGUUCACACACAACCCAUAAAGAUCCCGUAAAGACACAUGACAUUACGAUGUGACGUGUUUAGUUUCACUGAAGCUGGUGAACGAUGUCAGCUUCAGAACGGAUGAGGAACUAACUCAUCUCUGCUUCAUUACAGUUCACACAUAUGUUCUCGUCACAAACAUUGAUCUGCCUUUUUUUUGGGGACCACCGUGCUUUGUGAAAGGGGCUUUAGUCUAGCACACUACACAUGAGUUAUUUAUUUACUGUUAUUAUUAUUAAAAAAAUUUUUUUUUACAAAUUAGAGCAAAUUGAAUGGAAAUUAAUUGAAUAGAAAAGGUAAGUGCUUUGGGAAAUGUCUGAAGGCUCAGCUGCUCAAACUAAUAAAGGCAGGUCAUUCUACCAUGAUCUUAACUACAAAUAUUACUAUUCUCAUAAAGUCUGUGAAUAUAUCCAGUUCUAAUAAACACAUUUCAGGAAAAAGUUAAAUGAAAUGCAGCCCUGCAUAAAUCUGGUAUAACUGAGCCUGUGAAUUUAUUAAUUUGUAGAAUAGGAUUCACCUGUAGUGAAGGUUUUGAGAAGGGUUUGUUGUGUUUGUGAGAGAGAAAGAAACAAGUACAAGCUUGCAACCCCAAAAACAUUUUCUUGAUGAUUGAAAUAUUCUCUACAAAUACAAACUCCACAGUCACAAGUGCUCAGUUCUGUUAUAAUAAUGUACAACGUGUCUCGAUUGUACAGUAGAUGUACUGUAUGCAAAUAUAACAGGGACAUUAACAACUGAAUAUUCAGUGGAUGCAAACCUGUCACCUUCAAGUAAAAAUUGACAUUUUGAAUCCAACAAUCAUUUGCAUAUUUUGUGUAGAUCCAAAGAGUUUUCGAAAGUGAAUUAGUUCAAUAGCACAUGCUAAAUAACACAAGCCAUUUUUUGUUUACAUUUUAUACUGUAAAUGUAAUAAAAAGAAAAGAAAUAAAUGGUUUACAUCAAAUGUUGCCCUUUUAUAUGAAAAUAUACAAAAGAUAAUAUUUUUAAGGCACUUGAUAAAAAAAAUUACCGCCAAACCUUAAAUUUAAUCAUGGAGUCAUAGGACAUAUAUAAAAAACUAAAAAUUAACUUUAUUGUCUAAUUGUGGCCUACAUGAUCAAACCUUGUUAGAAAAGCAAUGAUAGUGAACCGUGACUGCGGCUGUCAGUUUGUAAGGUUCUGCCUUGCAUCUUCUUUUGUGACCCACUGAAAAUAAGUCAAACACAUUUGGUCAUAUUUUUAUUUAUUUAGUAAAUAUAGCUUUUAAUUUGGUACUUGACACAAUUUAUAUUAGCCUAUAAUAUACUUUAUACCUAUUUGUGUGUAAAAGCAUUUUAUUAACUUAGAAGGUUUGUGCACAUGUAUUUGUAACUGUGUAUAAACUGUAUUGUAUAAAUAAUAAAGA